rnacentral:rRNA from 1 species
AUUGAACGCUGGCGGCAUGCCUUACACAUGCAAGUCGAGCGGUAACGGGCCUUCGGGUGCCGACGAGUGGCGAACGGGUGAGUAAUGUAUCGGAACGUACCUUUCAGUGGGGGAUAACGUAGCGAAAGUUACGCUAAUACCGCAUAUUCUGUGAGCAGGAAAGCAGGGGAUCGCAAGACCUUGCGCUGAUUGAGCGGCCGAUAUCAGAUUAGCUAGUUGGUGAGGUAAAGGCUCACCAAGGCGACGAUCUGUAGCGGGUCUGAGAGGAUGAUCCGCCACACUGGAACUGAGACACGGUCCAGACUCCUACGGGAGGCAGCAGUGGGGAAUUUUGGACAAUGGGGGCAACCCUGAUCCAGCCGUGCCGCGUGAGUGAAGAAGGCCUUCGGGUUGUAAAGCUCUUUCGGCCGGGAAGAAAUCUUAUCAGCUAAUACCUGGUGCGGAUGACGGUACCGGCAUAAGAAGCACCGGCUAACUACGUGCCAGCCGCCGCAGUAAUAC